AACGAACGCUGGCGGCAUGCCUAACACAUGCAAGUCGAACGAAGGCUUCGGCCUUAGUGGCGCACGGGUGCGUAACGCGUGGGAAUCUGCCCCUCGGUUCGGAAUAACAGUUAGAAAUGACUGCUAAUACCGGAUGAUGACUUCGGUCCAAAGAUUUAUCGCCGAGGGAUGAGCCCGCGUAAGAUUAGGUAGUUGGUGGGGUAAAGGCCUACCAAGCCGACGAUCUUUAGCUGGUCUGAGAGGAUGAUCAGCCACACUGGGACUGAGACACGGCCCAGACUCCUACGGGAGGCAGCAGUGGGGAAUAUUGGACAAUGGGCGAAAGCCUGAUCCAGCGAUGCCGCGUGAGUGAUGAAGGCCUUAGGGUUGUAAAGUUCUUUUACCAGGGAUGAUAAUGACAGUACCUGGAGAAUAAGCUCCGGCUAACUUCGUGCCAGCCGCCGCGGUAA
rnacentral:rRNA from 1 species